rnacentral:rRNA from 1 species
GACGAACGCUGGCGGCAUGCCUAAUACAUGCAAGUAGAACGCUGAAGGAGGAGCUUGCUUCUCUGGAUGAGUUGCGAACGGGUGAGUAACGCGUAGGUAACCUGCCUGGUAGCGGGGGAUAACUAUUGGAAACGAUAGCUAAUACCGCAUAAUAGUAGAUGUUGCAUGACAUUUGCUUAAAAGGUGCAAUUGCAUCACUACCAGAUGGACCUGCGUUGUAUUAGCUAGUUGGUGGGGUAACGGCUCACCAAGGCGACGAUACAUAGCCGACCUGAGAGGGUGAUCGGCCACACUGGGACUGAGACACGGCCCAGACUCCUACGGGAGGCAGCAGUAGGGAAUCUUCGGCAAUGGACGGAAGUCUGACCGAGCAACGCCGCGUGAGUGAAGAAGGUUUUCGGAUCGUAAAGCUCUGUUGUAAGAGAAGAACGAGUGUGAGAGUGGAAAGUUCACACUGUGAGGGUAUCUUACCAGAAAGGGACGGCUAACUACGUG